CUUCCGCCUUCUCCAGAGCGUGACACUGCCGAAACUGUCAGAAAGGUUUGUUAAGAACAAAGAUUGAUCACGGGAUGACGAAGAUGACGAAGGACCCCACGUACUACCGGCAUCAUUAGCGGCUUUGUUUCUAAGUGACACGGAGGACGAAGAGUUUGAAGGAUUUAAGGAUUUGGAGUGACACAGAAGAAGUCGGGGGCCAGCGCUCGGCCGGGUGGCUGUCCGGGGACGGCGGAUGGGGCUCGGUCAUGGCUUUUACGCACGCCCGGUCCUAUUCUAUGAGUCUCUCUUCCACCUCCAUGGCUGGAAGUCCACGCCGCCACA